rnacentral:lncRNA from 1 species
UGCUAUCUCUUGGUUUGGCCUAUAUUAGUGGUCUUAUGGACAUUAUUGUUAAGGGGGCCAAUACAUUGUCAUAUAAAGUGUAGGACUAAUGUGUAGAUACCCAAAAGAGUAACCUUAGUCAAUGAUGGUCUAACUAAGGUUACAUACAUGUAAGCAAGGUUACAUUCUUGUGACCUUUGAGUUUCAUAACUCACAUGUUAUAAUAAGGGGGGUUAUGGUUCCCACAAGAAU